rnacentral:rRNA from 1 species
ACUCAAAGGAAUUGACGGGGACCCGCACAAGCGGUGGAGCAUGUGGUUUAAUUCGACGCAACGCGAAGAACCUUACCAGGGUUUGACAUACCAGUGAUGGGUCUAGAGAUAGAUUGUUCCUUCGGGACACUGGAUACAGGUGGUGCAUGGUUGUCGUCAGCUCGUGUCGUGAGAUGUUGGGUUAAGUCCCGCAACGAGCGCAACCCUUAUCGUUAGUUACUAACAUUAAGUUGAGGACUUUAACGAGACUGCCAGUGAUAAACUGGAGGAAGGCGGGGAUGAGGUCAAAUCAUCAUGCCCCUUAUACCCUGGGCUACACACGUGCUACAAUGGUCGGUACAAAGAGAAGCGAAACAGUGAUGUCAAGCAAACCUCAUAAAGCCGAUCUCAGUUCGGAUUGUAGUCUGCAACUCGACUACAUGAAGAUGGAAUCGCUAGUAAUCGCGGAUCAGAAUGCCGCGGUGAAUACGUUCCCGGGUCUUGUACACACCGCCCGU